GUAGGGAAUCUUGCGCAAUGGGCGAAAGCCUGACGCAGCCAUGCCGCGUGAAUGAUGAAGGUCUUAGGAUUGUAAAAUUCUUUCACCGGGGACGAUAAUGACGGUACCCGGAGAAGAAGCUCCGGCUAACUUCGUGCCAGCAGCCGCGGUAAUACGAAGGGGGCUAGCGUUGCUCGGAAUUACUGGGCGUAAAGGGCGCGUAGGCGGACAGCUUAGUCAGAGGUGAAAGCCCAGGGCUCAACCUUGGAAUUGCCUUUGAUACUGGCUGUCUUGAGUUUGGGAGAGGUGAGUGGAACUCCGAGUGUAGAGGUGAAAUUCGUAGAUAUUCGGAAGAACACCAGUGGCGAAGGCGACUCACUGGCCCAAUACUGACGCUGAGGCGCGAAAGCGUGGGGAGCAAACAGGAUUAGAAACCCGUGUAGUCC
rnacentral:rRNA from 1 species